rnacentral:rRNA from 1 species
AGUUGAUUAUGGCUCAGAACGAACGCUGGCGGCAGGCUUAACACAUGCAAGUCGAACGCCCCGCAAGGGGAGUGGCAGACGGGUGAGUAACGCGUGGGAAUCUACCCAUCUCUGCGGAAUAGCUCUGGGAAACUGGAAUUAAUACCGCAUACGCCCUACGGGGGAAAGAUUUAUCGGGGAUGGAUGAGCCCGCGUUGGAUUAGCUAGUUGGUGGGGUAAAGGCCUACCAAGGCGACGAUCCAUAGCUGGUCUGAGAGGAUGAUCAGCCACAUUGGGACUGAGACACGGCCCAAACUCCUACGGGAGGCAGCAGUGGGGAAUAUUGGACAAUGGGCGCAAGCCUGAUCCCAGCCAUGCCGCGUGAGUGAUGAAGGCCUUAGGGUUGUAAAGCUCUUUCACCGGUGAAGAUAAUGACGGUAACCGGAGAAGAAGCCCCGGCUAACUUCGUGCCAGCAGCAGC